rnacentral:lncRNA from 1 species
CUAAAUAUAAAUAUUAAGUAUGAAUCAUAGUUCUAACACUUUAGAAUCUAUUUAUUUUCUAUAUUCCGUGCUCCAGAUACUAGAAUAAAUAUCUGACGGGGUAAAGUCAUCUAUCAAGAUAAGAUGGCGUAUCCAUUUUAUGUUCUGUACUAUCAAUAGGAUCCAUUAUAACAAGUCACACACUCAUAUUCCGGAAAUACAGAAACAAAGAAGUUUCGCGGUCGAACUACCAAAUAAAUCAAAAUGGAAUGGGCU